rnacentral:rRNA from 1 species
UACGGAGGGUGCGAGCGUUGUCCGGAAUCACUGGGCGUAAAGGGCGCGUAGGCGGCGUGACAAGUCACUUGUGAAAUCUCUGGGCUUAACCCAGAACGGCCAAGUGAAACUGUUGUGCUAGAGUGCAGAAGGGGCAAUCGGAAUUCUCGGUGUAGCGGUGAAAUGCGUAGAUAUCGAGAGGAACACCAGAGGUGAAGACGGGUUGCUGGGCUGACACUGACGCUGAGGCGCGAAAGCCAGGGGAGCAAACGGG